rnacentral:tRNA from 1 species
AUAGAGCCUUAGUAGUAUAACUAAUACACUGGUCUU